rnacentral:rRNA from 1 species
CGCCUCUUGUCACCUAUAAGAGGUCCUGCCUGCCCAGUGACCUAAUUCAACGGCCGCGGUAUCUUAACCGUGCGAAGGUAGCAUAAUCAGUUGUUCUUUAAAUGAGGACUAGUAUGAACGGCGUCACGAAGGUCUUACUGUCUCCUUUUUCAAGUCUGUGAAACUAAUCUUCCCGUGAAGAAGCGGGGAUAAAAGUAUAAGACGAGAAGACCCUGUGGAGCUUUAAACAUAUUUUUACCUGCUACAACACAAAGUAAGCUUGAUUAAUUAUAAGUUUUAGGCUGGGGCGACCUCGGAGCAAAAAAAAACCUCCAAGUAGAAGGGAUUAGCACUCCUUAGCAAGAACUUCAACUUUAUGCACCAAUAAAUUGACUUCAAUUGACCCAAUAUUUUGACCAACGAACCAAGUUACCCCAGGGAUAACAGCGCUAUCCACUUUAAGAGACCCUAUCAAAAAGUGGGCUUACGACCUCGAUGUUGGAUCAGGGUGCCCAAGUGGUGCAGCCGCUACUAAUGGUUUGUUUGUUUAACGAUUAAAACCC